GCAGUCGAGCGACGCAUACCGGAGGGGUAACCCACUGGUAUGACGGAGCGGCGAACGGGUGAGUAACACGUGAGUAACCUGCCCCACAGACCGGGACAGCCCAGGGAAACCUGGAUUAAUACCGGAUAUCCUCGAAGGAUCGCAUGAUCUUUCGAGGAAAUGCCUUUGUGCUGUGGGAUGGGCUCGCGACUUAUCAGCUAGUUGGUGGGGUAACGGCCUACCAAGGCGUCGACGAGUAGCUGGUCUGAGAGGACGAUCAGCCACACUGGGACUGAGACACGGCCCAGACUCCUACGGGAGGCAGCAGCAGGGAAUCUUGCGCAAUGGGCGAAAGCCUGACGCAGCAACGCCGCGUGGGGGAUGAAGGCCUUCGGGUUGUAAACCCCUUUCAGGAGGGAAGAAAUUGACGGUACCUCCAAAAGAAGCACCGGCCAACUACGUGCCAGCAGCCGCGGUAAUACGUAGGGUGCGAGCGUUAUCCGGAAUCAUUGGGCGUAAAGAGCUCGUAGGCGGUUCAGUAAGUCGGCUGUGAAAUUUCGAGGCUCAACCUCGAAACUGCAGUCGAAACUGCUGUGACUCGAGUCCGGUAGAGGAGAAUGGAAUUCCCGGUGUAGCGGU
rnacentral:rRNA from 1 species